UGAGAGUGCAUGAUAUAGUUUCAAAGAAAUUGAGUUGAGAGAAACAGUUUGAAAAUAAUCCAUAUAGAAUCUGUUCUUGAAAGAAAACAGUAGAAGAGUGUGACACUUUUGUAAGAAGGUGAGUUGGACAAUCUCAGAACUAGAAUAUCACGCAUAGUUUAGGAAAGCAAACACAAAUAGGGGAAAGGGGAAAUGGGACAAGUAGUUCACAUGUAAGAGCAUAGUUGCACAUACGUAGACAUCAGAUAAGACAUUUCAAGACUUAAACAGUCAAAACACAUUUCAUCCCAAAAUGUUCAUGGAAGAUGUUCAGGAUUACUUGGUAGCUAUAAAGGGUCAUGAAUACAUGCUGACAAUGUACUGGGGUUAGGGAGUAAGGAAGAACUGCAUUAAACAAGUAAAAGAAGUAGUAGACAUGCUGAAUUAAGGGAAAGGUAAUCACAUCAAUGAAAUAGCAAAAAGGCACACUAAUUGCAAGGUAAACAACAAAACCAAAAAUAGAAGCAUAAAGGAAAU
rnacentral:lncRNA from 1 species